rnacentral:rRNA from 1 species
UGAGGGAAAGGUGAAAAGAACCCCGGUGAGGGGAGUGAAAUAGACCUGAAACCGUUUGCUUACAUACAGUGGGAGCACUAUGUGGUGACUUCGGUCACGACAAGUGUGACUGCGUACCUUUUGUUUAAUGGGUCCGCGAGUUACUCCUCAGCAGCAAGGUUAAGCCGCCAGGUGUAGCCGAAGCGAAAGCGAGUCUGAAUAGGGCGUCUAGUUGCUGGGGGUAGACCCGAAACCGAGUGAGCUAUCCAUGGCCAGGUUGAAGCUCAGGUAAGACUGAGUGGAGGACCGAACCGUAGUAGGUUGAAAACUACCCGGAUGAGCUGUGGAUAGGGGUGAAAGGCCAAUCAAACUCGGAGAUAGCUGGUUCUCCCCGAA